ensembl:lncRNA
UACCCAAUAAAGUCCUAUUAACUCAGUGGAUGAGAACAUCUGCAACAAAUCAUGUAUUUUAUUUUUUAUUUAUGAUGUUUUUUUUUUAUUAUGAUUAUUGAUUUAUUUUAGUUUUUUAAAAAGCCUGACUGACUCCACAAAUACUAGUGCAUAGCUUGUCUCUGUGUUUUUCUUUUUUGAAUAAAAGAAUGCAAAUGAAUAAAUUGAGGAGACACUUAAGAGUAAAAGAAUGAAAAGGAGUGUAAGGCAUGUGAGAAUUUCAUGCCUGAGGAUGUAAACACUCCCUCUUGUUGUGUUCAUUCAUGUUUUUCUGAGUGACAGUGAGCUGUGCCACAAGUCAACAUCUUAAGAUGGUGAGCCUCUGAAUUAUGUCAAUAUUUUAAUUGCUCAGCAUUUACACCAACAUAUCUCAAAGCAAGAGAUUUUGACAAAAGAACACUAUUCUGCCUUUCUGCAGAGAAAUCUAAAAUGAUUAUAAGGCUUUUUGUACAAAAGAAACGUUGCAUCUCAUGCUAUGGAUGAUGCAGUGCUAUAAAAGGCCAGCAGAGGGCCCUGUUGAGCUCCGUGUCACAGCAUGUGUGAUGCAGCAGGGCUGUUACAGUAGGGCUGCAAAAAUUCAAAACACUAUAAAACUGGAGAGCUAUGGGAACGAUCAUCUCAGAGAGCCUACAGGUUCCCUUACCUCUCACACAGCUUUCUGUGCCACGGCAGGAUGAAACCUGGCAAAGCGUCAGAAACAACAAAGAAGAUUCCCUAUAAGUAGAGAGGUGACUGCCAUUCGCCACUGCGGUCAGCAAUAUGUGACGGAGGUGAUUGCUGUGUGUGUGUUCGGGAACAUGCAGCCCUCCAGCACUGGCCUAAUAAAAGAGCUGAAGAGAUUGAGCCA